GGAGGGUGCGAGCGUUAAUCGGAAUGACUGGGCGUAAAGGGCAUGUAGGCGGAUAAUUAAGUUAGGUGUGAAAGCCCUGGGCUCAACCUAGGAAUUGCACUUAAAACUGGUUAACUAGAGUAUUGUAGAGGAAGGUAGAAUUCCACGUGUAGCGGUGAAAUGCGUAGAGAUGUGGAGGAAUACCGGUGGCGAAGGCGGCCUUCUGGACAGAUACUGACGCUGAGAUGCGAAAGCGUGGGGAGCAAACAGGAUUAGAUACCCUGGUAGUCCACGCUGUAAACGAUGUCGAUUUGGAGUUUGUUGCCUUGAGUGAUGGGCUCCGAAGCUAACGCGAUAAAUCGACCGCCUGGGGAGUACGGCCGCAAGGUUA
rnacentral:rRNA from 1 species